UACGUAGGGGGCAAGCGUUGUCCGGAUUUAUUGGGCGUAAAGAGCGUGUAGGCGGCUUCAUAAGUCCGCUGUGAAAACUCGAGGCUCAACCUCGAGCUGUCGGUGGAAACUGUGUGGCUAGAGUCCGGAAGAGGAGAGUGGAAUUCCCGGUGUAGCGGUGAAAUGCGCAGAUAUCGGGAAGAACACCCGUGGCGAAGGCGGCUCUCUGGGACGGUACUGACGCUGAGACGCGAAAGCGUGGGGAGCGAACAGG
rnacentral:rRNA from 1 species